CCCUCCCCUUUGGUGUGGUUCGAUUCAAGUCAAUAAAACGUAUGAUGCUGUCUUGAUGGACUGCUGCUCACUUGCUGAAACAGCGACAAAAUGCGGAAGGCGCUUCAUCUGCUGCUCCUGCUCAUCCCAAAUGGAGGAUGCACAGCUGGUCCCACCUUUACGACAAAGACCGUUGCAGUUGGACAAAAUGUCUCUAUGGAUUGUCCCCGGGACGAAUCCAGAUUUCAGGCUCAUCUUUUUUGGAUCCGACUUGUUUCUGUAAGCUUUCCUGAACGUUUAGCUCAGACGACAGCCUUCGAUAUGACGGAACCUCAUCUUGGGCCAUCAAACAGUGGACGUCGCAUCACAGCCAAAAAAGAGCCAGGAAUGUUUGUUCUGCAAAUUGAUCAAGUGCAGAAAAGUGACAUGGGCGUCUACUACUGUUUCAAUUCGACAACAUGGGGUUAUAACGUAACAUUUGUUCAGGGAAUAUUUCUGCAGGUCAAAGAUUUCCUAGAAACAGAACCGUCUGUCUCUCUGGACUUGCGGUCUGAUGCGGGCCCACCGGGAUCACCUGUGACCUUACGGUGCUCGGUCGUCUCCCACCCGGGGAAUAAAAUGUGUACUGAUGGACACGUUUACUGGUUCAGAGCUGGAACAGAUGCCGCGCAUCCCAGCUUCGUUUCCACUCAUAAACAAUGCGGAGAGAUCAAAGGUGGCUCGAUGCGGAAAUGCGAUCACGUUUUCUCAAAGAACGUCACCUCCUCCGAUGCCGGAACUUACUUCUGUGCUGUGGACACGUGUGGGGAGAGUUUCAUGAGAUCCGCAAAAAAAGUCAUCAUUGAAGUGUCCAGCACGAGUGAUUUACCAAAGUCCGUUAUUUUCAUCUUGGGUGCUGCUUCGGCCUUAAUCUUCAUCCUGUCAGCCUUCCUCAUAUUCAAGAUCAAGACAAAAAGAUGUUUUUGCUGCAAAGGUCAAACAUUUUUCCAGGGACCUCCUUAUAAUUCGAGUGCCGGUUCAAGAUAAUUACCAUCAUCAUCAUCAUCAUACCAUGUAUCCAUCUGAGCCACAAGCAUUAACCAUUUGAAACAUAAGAAUUUAUUUUUUUUCGGGGAAAAGAAAAAAAUCAAUCUUUACGAGAGCAAAAUCGAAUUUUGUAGGGAAUACGUAAAGUUGCAAGAAAAAGUUGUAAUACUGCAUUAUAAUUUCAAAGCCAAAGUUGAUCGAGGGAAAAAUGUUAGUGUUUAAGAAAAUCGAGCAAUUUCAAAACAAUUUACUUUAUUACUAUAAAGGCUUUUAUUCUCUAAAAACAAUAGAAAAAAAUCGAAACGCGAAAUUUAUGCCAAGAAAUUUGACUUUAUUCCUGUUAUAAUAAGCCUUUUGUUCUUUAAAAAAAAAAAGAUUAAUAUUCAUGCAGACAUGUCAAUUUCUUUUCUGCUGAUACAUCAUAACACUGGGUUACAAAAAAACAUUAUUUUUAUUUUUUUUUGGUAAGUUGUCUAUGUGGCGGCACGGUGGACGACUGGUUAGAGCGUCAGCCUCACAGUUCUGAGGACCCGGGUUCAAUCCCCGGCCCCGCCUGUGUGUAGUCUGCAUGUUCUCCCCGUGCCUGCGUGGGUUUUCUCCGGGCACUCCGGUUUCCUCCCACAUCCCAAAAACAUGCAUUAAUUGGAGACUCUAAUUUGCCCGUAGGUGUGAAUGUGAGUGCGAAUGGUUGUUUGUUUGUAUGUGCCCUGCGAUUGGCUGGCAACCAGUGCAGGGUGUACCCCGCCUCCUGCCCGAUGAUAGGCUCCAGCAGGCCCUCGACCCUUGUGAGGAGAAGCGGCUCAGAAAAUAGAUGGAUGGAUGGAAGUUGUCUAUGUUUUUUCAACAUUGUCAAGAUUGUCCUAGAUCAGUUAAUAAAUAUUACACAAUACAUUUGUUGUUGACUAGUGCAAUCAUAUCAGUGCUUCAAGUGGACCCAAACAUCAGGAAGAGCCCACUAAUUGGUUUUGUUUGUCUUAUGUUCCCAUGUGUUUAUAUAUAGAUAUAUCUAUAUAUAUAUUUUAGAUGUUAGCAUAGAAUUUAUUCCAGUCAUUUUGUGAGCCCCCAAGCUGUGGCCCGUGGAGCCCACUUUGAGAAGCACUGCUUGACGCCUUUUCUUUGUCCAAUCUUCAGCCCGUCCGCAAAGCCGUGACGAAACGUCCGGUGGUGUGCAGCAGGGAAGAGACGAGGACCCUUUGGCUUAUUGCGCGCCGACCGUCGUCGCCAGGAAAAGUGGCAAAGUGACGCAGACAAAUGCGGAAUUUAGCACGUAUACCGACGUC